rnacentral:rRNA from 1 species
GAUGAACGCUGGCUACAGGCUUAACACAUGCAAGUCGAGGGGAGACGACGGGGAAGCUUGCUUCCCCGGGCGUCGACCGGCGCACGGGUGAGUAACGCGUAUCCAACCUGCCUCUGACUGAGGGAUAACCCGUCGAAAGUCGGCCUAAUACCUCAUGGCAUCGUCUGCGGGCAUCCAACGACGAUUAAAGAUUUCAUCGGUCAGGGAUGGGGAUGCGUCUGAUUAGCUUGUUGGCGGGGUAACGGCCCACCAAGGCUACGAUCAGUAGGGGUUCUGAGAGGAAGGUCCCCCACAUUGGAACUGAGACACGGUCCAAACUCCUACGGGAGGCAGCAGUGAGGAAUAUUGGUCAAUGGGCGGGAGCCUGAACCAGCCAAGUAGCGUGCAGGAUGACGGCCCUAUGGGUUGUAAACUGCUUUUAUGCGGGGAUAAAGUGAGGGACGUGUCCUUCAUUGCAGGUACCGCAUGAAUAAGGACCGGCUAAUUCCGUG